rnacentral:lncRNA from 1 species
CGGCCGCGUCUCUAUCCAUGCGUCGUUUGCUUUCCUUGACUCAGCCAGCGCCGGCGACGGCGCCGCCGCCUAUCCCAACCCAUCCCGCGCAUUUUCCGCUGGUGAGGAGGCUUCUACAGCUCCGCCUGACCGUCCAGAUUGGCCACCGUCCUUCGCAAGCUGGGGACGCCCGCAAUAGCUCGUGGACCGGUUGCGGAAGAGGUCCAGAGCAGCUUUCGCAAGAUCGUCGCUGGAACGCCGUCUCCACCGUCGUCUUCUCCAAACUCCGGCCGGCCUCCCAUCGUCGUUCGCCCGCCACCGGUGAGAACCCGCGUGCCCCCCCCCCCCCUCUCUUGCGCGCACCCGGCUGCCCGACCCCACCGCCGGAGCCCCAUCCCGUACCCGCUCCCAUGCGCCCGUGUGUCGCGGCCCACCUCGGCCCCGCGCAGCGCCGCCGGCAGGCCGAGCUGGCCGUCCUGCCGUCCCGACACACCCCUCCCGGCUGUGCCGAUUCGGCCAAGCCGAGCCGAUCCAGCCCAUCCGCCCGCCCCUCUGCACCAUCCUACCCGUGGCCGAAGCGCCGCCGCCGCCGUCCGCGCCAUGGCCCGGCCACCGGCCACCUGCACUGCCCACCAGGUCGAGCCUUCCGUUCCGCAGCUCCACCCCCGCUCUCCAGAUUCACAACCAUCGUUCCCCAAGAGGUCCAGAGCAGCGAACGGCAGGGCAUGACAAGCGCAGCAGAGAGAUCCGCUCUGGAUCGGUUUAGCGUAAUUGCUGCACUGGUUACUUGUGCUAUAAGAACGGUGAUGUUUACCGGUGCGACAGUUGUGACCUCCCAUUCCCUCUUCACUGACAAAUUCACGCAGGUAUGUACAAAUUAAAAGCAGAGAACAAAUUUUGUGUUGACCACCUGAACCAGAUGGGAAUAUGACUGUAAUUUAGCUUCAGUUGGUUAAUCUUUGCUUAGGUUAUGUACAUUUCUGCAUUCUGAAAAAUUAUUGAUCCCUUGACCUCGAUGUAUCAGCAGUUUCAUGGCAUUCUCUACAGUCUACUUGCAGAGGCAGGUCUAGGUAUUCUUUGUUUUGCUGUUUCCCUAAGAACUUAGAGAAUUGUGCAGCAGUCGAAUAGGUUUUGUACAUGCAGAUUGUCAUUUGGACUGCUUUUAUUCGUCAAAAACUCAAAAUGAAUACACGUUGAGACAUAUAACUUUAAAAUUUUACAUGUAAUUCCAGCAAAAUCAUCUAUGAUCAGAUUGUUUGCUCAUAGAUUACUUCUAUUCAAAUUCUUGAGAUGCAUAAGGUGAUGCCCAAGUGCAAAUUAUUGUUUAAUUUUUUACCUGAACAUAAGGUGAUACUCUCCAAUCUUAUGCCCAAGUGCAUAAGAUUGGAGAGUAUCUGAUUCUUGUGUCAUAUGACAACAUUGGUUGCUGACAGCAUUGAUUUGUUUAUCGAUCUAUUGAUUGAGGAAGGGGGAUGAUUUUUUAAUUCAUUCUGUGAGGGAUGGUGUGGUUUGGUCAUUAAAAUGUUGUCCAAUUACAGAUUUCUAUGGUGAUUAGCUUGCAUCUCACUGCCAUUUUAUCAUUAACUAAUUGCUAACCCAAACUCCACUUUUACAAACUAACUAUAAGAAUUAAUCGUUAGCCCUCUAGUCGAUAUACUCAGGAAUGUUGAACAUUAUUGUAUCUUAAAAAAUUAUCAGGGCUGACAUGUGUGGAUGAAAGGAACUCAGAUUUAGCAACCCCAUGACGUGUUUCUGAAACAUUCAUAUUCAGCAUACUCAGUACCCUGACCGCCUCGGCCACGGGGCUAUGGUGUCCGCAUACUGCAAUAGCUGGCCUCCUAAUUCUCCACGGCGCCAUAGCCCCGUGGUCGAGGCAGUCAGGUGACUGCGCUGACCACAAACACUUCUUGCAUGUUGUGUUCUAUUUUUGACUGAGAAACUACUGAUGAUGCUGAUGCACACUUCGUAUUUGAGUUAAUGCCCCUGCUGGUUGGAUUAAAAACCUAUGAGUUCUUUUCGACAGUGGCAGAUUGAUUCUAAUGUUAAAAACCUAUGAGUUCCUUUGUUGAUUACUAGUUCAACGAUUAGGAUUUUUUUGUUGGUUUGGCAGAUAGAUUGCCUUUCACAUGUAUUUCAAUUACAUGGUUUUCUGAGUGAACUACAAUUUUUUUCUUGAAAUCCUGUAAGUAGAUCCUCUUAAAUUGCACAAUUAAACUUUGGGCCUAAUUUGCGGUAUCAAUACAUCCAUCUUUAUCUACAUGUAUGUAGGUGCUGAUAUUUCAGAUUUUAGGUUUCUUAUUAAUACAUUUUAUGGCUCUCUUAGUACAAGUGAUUGUGUUGCAAAUUGGUGGUUAUAUGCUUAUAUAUCCCAGAUAUGAUGAACAUUGCUGUCCAUAUGCAUGAUUAUGUAUUGUGAAUUUCACUAUCUGAUUAUGCAUGCCCCUUUGCUUGCUGCAAGACCAUUGAUAUAUUGAUUAUGUAUUCUGAACUUUCAAUAUCUGAUUUUUUAAUAUAGACAGCACUGUUUGUGACAAACAUGAAUAUUUGUGACAAGCCAGUUUGGCUUUAAAAAAUUAGGUGUUUAUGGUUAACUAGGUUUUUUGCCCCAGUUAGACAUGAUAACAUUUGUAAUCAAACUUGUGUUGUUGCACAUAAAUGGUGUUUUUAUGGUUUCCCUUGCUUCAUUUCGGGAGAUAGAGAUGAUUUUGCAUAAUGCAUACUUAUGUAUUUCUGACAACGAAUGCAACUCUAUGUUAUAUUUCUAAUAGUUGAAGUUUUGUCGGUUGAGACAUACAAGAACUUCGGGGUGACAGUAAGUUGGAUACAUCUGUGAUUGCGCUCGGAGCUGGCCUGUUCCACGAGGGACCUGCUGUUCCAAGAGGACCUGCUUCUAUGGCCUUUAGUCUAGAAUUUUGUUUUCGUUUCAGAGUGUAAACGUUUGUUUUGGUGUGAAAUUUGUAAAUAUUGUGAGCAUGUGAUAUUCUGGAGUGAAAUUUGUAAUAUUUACAUUCAUUUUCUAAAGUAUCUACAAACCAAGACAUAGCAUGUUCUAUGUACUGAAAUUUGUAAAUUUUUUAAAUUCUGUUAUGUAGUGUCUACUAACAAAAAGCAAUGAAUGUUCUAUGGAGCAAAUUUUGCAAUUUUUACAAUUCUAUUUUAUAGAAUUUCCAAAUAAUCAGAAGGCUUGCCAUUUAGUGCGUCC